rfam:Salmo salar isolate Sally breed double haploid chromosome ssa12, whole genome shotgun sequence.
AAUGCACCAAUUUGUAAGUCGCUUUGGAUAAGAGCGUCUGCUAAAUGACUUAAA